rnacentral:lncRNA from 10 species
AUGCCCUACGAUCCUGGUGCGGGUUCCUCCAGGCUCUGACCGUUCGGCGGCGGAGGGUGCUCUGCAAAAGGCGAGUUACCUGUGCUGAGAAGUAGUAAGAGCUUAUUGGUAUACUGUGCAAAUGAAGAAAGAUGAAAAAGUGAAGACUGCCUCUCACGGUCCUCGGCCCUGAAUCAUUUAAGUCGACGUUUGGAUGUGUUUCCCCCCAGACACAUGCGAGGCGCGCGGAGCAGGUGGAGAAGACGAACCGUGGGUUUGGUCAGGAGCCGCGCUCCGUCGGGACGGCUGAAGAGCAGGGAGGGCCGGGGAGACGCCUGAGGGGAUGACAAGCAGUCCAGGCUCGGCAGCCUAAGAGCGAAGGCUGGACGGGGAGGAAAGGAUCAGAAGUAGUAGUUUAAAUGUGUCAAGAUUUUACAGGUAGAACAGGCCUGGGGGUGCUAGGAGCCACCACGGGGGUAGGGAAAUAGUAUGAAUUAGAAGAGUCCGCCUGUAGAAACGUGUCAUCCCGGGGGAAGGAAGCGGCCGGGGAAGUGGGCUGCUUGCUACCCGGGAGCCAGAGUCCUCCGGGGAAAAGGAAGUGAAGAGGGCCAGAGCCCCUGGGAAGAGGCCUGGCUCAGAUCAAGGAUUCUGCCAAAACCGGAAAGUGGAGGAGCCAACGACUCGGGGGGUUUUGCUUAUCAGGAAAAGGCAUUCUAGAGGGCGUAGUGGUAAAGUUAGGAUGGGAGACAGUGGAAGCUUGCGUCAGGGGAGCGAAAGUACAGAAAAAAAAAAAAUGAGGCUGCAGAAGGGACUUGCCCUUUGGAUUUUGGCCAGGAAUGACAAAAAUGUGAGGUAUGGUAAAAUUAGCAGGCUGGAAAGUUUUUUAAAUGAUUAGUCCCAGCUGUCCCCUGAUGGAUUGCACAGAAACCUGCAAAGAGAAGUGGCGCAAUGACCUGACCUUUUUCAACCAUAAAUAAGAUUUUAUUGCUACUUUAAGAGGUGGGCCCCACCUCUUAUGAUAACUGA